CCCUUAGAUGUUCUGGGCCGCACGCGCGCUACACUGAUGCAUUCAACGAGCACCCGCUGGGCCGAGAGGUCCGGCUAAUCUUUGAACGUGCAUCGUGCUGGGGAUAGAUGAUUGCAAUUAUUCAUCUUCAACGAGGAAUUCCUAGUAAACGCAAGUCAUCAGCUUGCAUUGAUUACGUCCCUGCCCUUUGUACACACCGCCCGUCGCUCCUACCGAUUGAAUGGUCCGGUGAAGCGUUCGGACCGUGGCCUUUGGACGGUUCGCCGUCUGUUGGCUGCGGGAAGUUCGUUAAACCUUAUCAUUUAGAGGAAGGAGAANUCGUANCA
rnacentral:rRNA from 1 species